AGGCCAGCAGGACCCGCGGAAGCUCGAGGAGCUGGGCAGCGUGCUCACGAGCCUCGACCCCGGGGACUCGAUCGUCGUCGCCAAGGCGUUUUCGCACAUGCUUAACCUGGCUAAUCUUGCAGAGGAGGUGCAGAUCGCGUACCGGCGGAGGAUUAAGCUGAAGAAGGGGGACUUCGCGGAUGAGAAUUCAGCGACGACGGAGUCGGACAUCGAGGAGACGCUCAAGAGGCUCGUGACGCAGCUGGGGAAGUCGCCGCAGGAGGUCUUCGAUGCGCUGAAGAAUCAGACGGUUGAUCUUGUUCUCACUGCUCAUCCUACUCAGUCCGUCCGGAGGUCGCUGCUCCAGAAGCACGGCAGGAUAAGGAACUGUUUGGCACAAUUGUGUGGCAAGGAUAUUACCCCGGAUGACAAGCAGGAGCUUGAUGAG
rnacentral:misc_RNA from 1 species